CUACGGAGGGUGCAAGCGUUGUCCGGAUUUAUUGGGUUUAAAGGGUGCGUAGGUGGCGUGUUAAGUCAGUGGUGAAAGCCUGCAGCUCAACUGUAGAGGUGCCAUUGAUACUGACAUGCUUGAGUAUGGACGAGGUAGGCGGAAUUUGUGGUGUAGCGGUGAAAUGCAUAGAUACCACAAAGAACACUGAUAGCGAAGGCAGCUUACUGGACCAUAACUGACACUGAGGCACGAAAGUGUGGGUAGCGAACAGGAUUAGAUACCCCAGUAGUCC
rnacentral:rRNA from 1 species